rnacentral:piRNA from 1 species
UACAGGAACCCAAGGAUGGAGUCUCCCAGU